rnacentral:lncRNA from 1 species
AUUGUUUUGUUUUGCCCUUCUAUUCCAUAGACAAGGAGAACUUUCACACAGAAAACUAACAAAGAAAUUCUGGACUUAAACUUGACACUUGCCCAGUUGGUCUUAAUAGACAUCUAAAGAAUACUCCACCCAACAACUACAGAAUAUAUAUUCGUCUCAUCUGCAGACACAACAUACUUUAAAAAUGACUGCAUGUUUGGUCAGAGAGUCUCAACAAAUUUGGAAAAAUUAAAAUUAUACCCAACAUAUUCUCAGGUCGAAUGAAAUGCAAAUAGAAAUUACUGCCAAGAGGAAUUCUCAAAACCACACAAAUACGUGGAAAUUAAACACAUUGAUCCUGAAUGACCUUUGUAAAGCAAGAAAAUUAAGGCAAAAAUCAAAAAAUUAUUUGAAAAAAACAAAAAUUGUGACACAGUGUAACAAAACCUGUGAUAUUGCAAAAGAAGUGAUAAGAUUUGUAGCACUAAAUGCCUACAUCAAGAAAAUAGAAAUAUCUUGUUAACAACCUAACAUUACACCUAAAGAAAUAGAGAAAGAAGAACUAAAUUCUAAAUGAAGAACCCAGUUCUAGCAGAAGAAAAGAAAGAAUUAAAAUCAGAACAGAACUAAGUGAAAUUGAGAUAAAGAAAACUAUUCAAAGGAUCAACAAAAUGAAAAGUUUGUUUUUUGAAAGGAUAAACAAAAUUGAUAGACUGCUAGAUAAACAAAGGAAAAAAAGAAGAUCCAAAUAAGCACAAUCAGAUAUGACAAAGGUAACAUUACAACUGAUCUCGCAGAAAUAUAAAAGAUCCUCAGAGAUUACUAUGAACAUCUCUAUGCACACAACUAGAAAAUCUAGAGGAAAUAGAUAAAUUCCUGGAAAUAUACAACCUCCCAAGAUUGAAUCUGGAAGAAAAAGACACCCUAAAGAGACCAGUAAUGAGUUACAAAAUUGAAUAAGUAAUAAUAAAAAACUUACUAACCAGAAAAGCACCGGACCAGAUGGAUUUACAGCCAAAUUAUACCAGAUGUACAAAGAAG